AUGAACGUUGGCGGCGUGCCUAAUACCUGCAAGUCGAGCGAACAGAUGAGGAGCUUGCUCCUCUGACGUUAGCGGCGGACGGGUGAGUAACACGUGGAUAACCUACCUAUAAGACUGGGAUAACUUCGGGAAACCGGAGCUAAUACCGGAUAAUAUAUUGAACCGCAUGGUUCAAUAGUGAAAGACGGUUUUGCUGUCACUUAUAGAUGGAUCCGCGCCGCAUUAGCUAGUUGGUAAGGUAACGGCUUACCAAGGCAACGAUGCGUAGCCGACCUGAGAGGGUGAUCGGCCACACUGGAACUGAGACACGGUCCAGACUCCUACGGGAGGCAGCAGUAGGGAAUCUUCCGCAAUGGGCGAAAGCCUGACGGAGCAACGCCGCGUGAGUGAUGAAGGUCUUCGGAUCGUAAAACUCUGUUAUUAGGGAAGAACAAAUGUGUAAGUAACUAUGCACGUCUUGACGGUACCUAAUCAGAAAGCCACGGCUAACUACGUG
rnacentral:rRNA from 1 species